CAUAUGCUUGUCUCAAAGAUUAAGCCAUGCAUGUCUGAGUACAGACCGAUCUAAGGUGAAACCGCGAAUGGCUCAUUAAAUCAGUCAUAAUUCCUUGGAUAGUGAUAAACUUUCCUCGGAUAACUGUGGAAAAUCCAGAGCUAAUACGUGCAACAGAGCUCCGACCUAGACUUAACGGUCCUGGGAAGAGCGCAUUUAUUAGUUUCAAAACUGACCGGCGUACUCCUUCGGGAUACGUCGUUCGUCAAAUGUUUGAUGACUCCGGAUAACUUAGCCGAGCGCUACGGUCUUUAGUACCGGCGCCGUAUCUUUCAAGUGACUGCCUUAUCAGCUUUCGAUUGUAGGUUAAACGCCUACAAUGGCUGUAACGGGUAACGGGGAAUCAGGGUUCGAUUCCGGAGAGGGAGCCUGAGAAACGGCUACCACAUCUAAGGAAGGCAGCAGGCACGCAAAUUACCCACUCCCAGCUCGGGGAGGUAGUGACGAUAAAUAACGAUGCGAGACUCUUCCGAGGCCUCGCAAUCGGAAUGAGUCCAUUUUAAAUCCNUGGACGAGGAUCCAUUGGAGGGCAAGUCUGGUGCCAGCAGCCGCGGUAAUUCCAGCUCCAAUAGCGUAUAUUAAAGUUGCUGCGGUUAAAAAGCUCGUAGUUGGACUUUCUAGAUCCAUUUCGUGGACGAGUCGCUCUUUGUACUGGCGUCUCGCGCGGUUCCUUGACACAAGGCGUCGAGUGGGUGUGUGUGUGUGUGUUUCUCUCUUCGUGUUCGACUGAGGCCGUCUCGGAGGGGAUCUACUACACUACACCUCUCUCGCGUUACUGAGUUAAGUGGGCGGUGAGUCGUUGUCUUAGGGUAUAGCUCGUCCGCGUUUGGUACAAUUAAAAUUUUGUCGGCUCGCUCGGAGUGCUCUUUACCGAGUGUUCCAGGGUGGCUGACACGUUCACUUUGAAAAAAUUAGAGUGCUUAAAGCGGGCUCGUAUACGGCCUGAAUGUCUGUGCAUGGAAUGAAGUAACAGGACCUCGAUUCUGUUGUUUUUGUCGGUUUUAAUGAACCGAGGUAAUGAUUAAAAGGGACAGACGGUGGCAUUAGUAUUGCGACGCUAGAGGUGAAAUUCUUGGACCGUCGCAAGACUAACUACUGCGAAAGCAUUUGCCGAGAAUGUUUUCAUUAAUCAAGAACGAAAGUUAGAGGAUCGAAGGCGAUCAGAUACCGCCCUAGUUCUAACCCUAAACUAUGCUAACUAGCGAUCCGCCGGAGUCAUUCCCACGACCCGGCGGGAAGCCCCAGGGAAACCAAAGUCUUUGAGUUCCGGGGGAAGUAUGGUUGCAAAGCUGAAACUUAAAGGAAUUGACGGAAGGGCACCACCAGGAGUGGAGCCUGCGGCUUAAUUUGACUCAACACGGGAAACCUCACCAGGCCCGGACAUCAUAAGGAUUGACAGGUUGAGAGCUCUUUCUCGAUUUGAUGGGUGGUGGUGCAUGGCCGUUCUUAGUUGGUGGAGUGAUCUGUCUGGUUGAUUCCGAUAACGAACGAGACUCUGCCCUACUAACUAGUCGGCGGAUCGUAACCCUGAGCCGGUUUUAGUUUGUAAGAGGAGAGAUUUGCUGAAAGCGGAGUUCUACCGGACGAUAGGUCACACGGCGCAUCCGCUCGUAUGCUAUCUUUAGCGAAGAGUUUGUGGUGCUAACCGUUGAUUUCUAAAGGUCGGUGUGCUUCGUCUCUAAGCGGCUUUCCAAUUACGAUUGCUACUACUGCUGGGGGCGUCCGUCGCAAUGUAUCUUCUUAGAGGGAUCAGCGGCGUAUAGCCGCACGAGAAAGAGCAAUAACAGGUCUGUGAUGCCCUUAGAUGUUCUGGGCCGCACGCGCGCUACAAUGUAGGGUUCAGCGUGCAUUCCCUCUCCGAAAGGAGCGGGCAACCCGUUGAAACCCCUACCCGAUUGGGAUUGGGGCUUGUAAUUAUUUCCCAUGAACGAGGAAUUCCCAGUAAGCGCGAGUCACUAGCUCGCGUUGAUUACGUCCCUGCCCUUUGUACACACCGCCCGUCGCUACUACCGAUUGAAUGAUUCAGUGAGGGCAUCGGACUGGCCCUUCGGUUUAGUUAUCUAGACCUUAGGCUGACGGAAAGAUGUCCGAACUUGAUCAUUUAGAGGAAGUAAAAGUCGUAACAAGGUUUC
rnacentral:rRNA from 1 species